UAGAAUGUAGCUCAGUGGUAGUGUGCUUGUCUAGUAGACAUAAAGGCCUAGGUUCUAUUCUUAGCAUUGAAA
rnacentral:tRNA from 1 species